rnacentral:snRNA from 1 species
GUCUAUUCGAAGACAUCCGAUAAAAUUGAAACGAUGCAGAGAAGUUUAGCAUGGCCCCCUGGCCAAGGAUGACAGAAAACAAGUAAAAUCACAGGAGUCAGUUUU